CGAUAGCAUGAUUGCUUAUAGUGAGGCUAUUAGAGUUUGACUGCACAGAAACAUGAUCUUUUUGAGUCUUUAUAAGUAUAUGUUAGCAACAGUUGGUCUACUGUAGGAAUAAGAUGUGUAUCUAGAUAGAAUCUAUCGAUCUUGAUAGAAAAAAAUAAUCCUAUGGGAUUUGAAAAGCUGAGUCUGUAAAUCUAUGGCCACAGCAGUAUGAUUGAUGAAAAUUUUUUUUUAUGAGAAUCACAAUUAAAUUUGAGCUAAUCAAAUCUAUCAUAUGACUGAUGAUG
rnacentral:lncRNA from 1 species